GACGAACGCUGGCGGCGUGCUUAACACAUGCAAGUCGAACGAUGAGCCCGGAGCUUGCUCCGGUGGAUUAGUGGCGAACGGGUGAGUAACACGUGAGUAACCUGCCCUUGACUCUGGGAUAACUGCGGGAAACUGUAGCUAAUACCGGAUACGACCCUCGGCGGCAUCGCCAGGGGGUGGAAAGAAUUUCGGUCAGGGAUGGACUCGCGGCCUAUCAGCUAGUUGGUGAGGUAACGGCUCACCAAGGCGACGACGGGUAGCCGGCCUGAGAGGGUGACCGGCCACACUGGGACUGAGACACGGCCCAGACUCCUACGGGAGGCAGCAGUGGGGAAUAUUGCACAAUGGGCGCAAGCCUGAUGCAGCAACGCCGCGUGAGGGAUGACGGCCUUCGGGUUGUAAACCUCUUUUAGCAGGGAAGAAGCGAAAGUGACGGUACCUGCAGAAAAAGCACCGGCUAACUACGUGCCAGCCGCCGCUGUAA
rnacentral:rRNA from 1 species